rnacentral:rRNA from 1 species
UACGGGGGGGGGCAAGCGUUGUUCGGAAUUACUGGGCGUAAAGCGCGCGUAGGCGGGUUGCUAAGUCCGCUGUGAAAGCCCGAGGCUUAACCUCGGAGGGUCGGUGGAUACUGGCAGUCUUGAAGGUGGUAGAGGGAAGUGGAAUUACCGGUGUAGCGGUGAAAUGCGUAGAUAUCGGUAGGAACACCAGUGGCGAAGGCGGCUUCCUGGCCCACUCUUGACGCUGAGGCGCGAAAGCUGGGGGAGCGAACGGG